rnacentral:tRNA from 1 species
GAUGGUUCGCCGAAGUGGGAGAGUCGGGGCGGUCUGCAACACCGUUGUGAAAACUGAGUGGGUUCGAAUCCCAUAGCCAUCUC